rnacentral:lncRNA from 1 species
GACAGAAUUCCCUAUCUGGAAGAGACAGCAGUCAGUGGAAAAUGCAAAAGAAUAACAAACCUCACAAAGGAACUAAAAGCCAAACAAGAUGAAUUAAAAAAUGCGAAGGAAGAUCUGCGGUAUUUCCAAGAAGAAAAGGAAGCUGCCUAUAAGCAAUCACAAGUGCUCAGAAAUACAUUGGAGCACCAUUGCUCAACUCUGAACAAGGCUGUCUCGCUGUUUCCCUUUAUCAGAAGUGAACUAGAAAAUAUUAAAGAAGUCGUGUCCAGUAAUCUAGAGAGCUGGGCUGCCCUGAAAGAAGAAAUUUUUGUCCAGAUAAAAACUGUUAGCAAAGAAGCUUUGACAGAAAUACCCAAACUUGAAUCAGAGGUUAGCAAAAUCCCAGAGAGAGAAUGAGAGUCUUCAGGAAAAGGUGAAACAUCUGACGCUGGUGGCUGACACGGUGGAGCUGAAAACUCAACAGCUUCAAACUUCUCUUCAGCAAGGGAAUGAGCUACAAAGCAGGUGCCGUGAACUACAAAAGGAAACAUUAGGUAAGAGAAUUUUGAUUUUCCAAUCAAAUUUCCAAAUAAAAUGAAAUGCAAAAAUAGUUAAUGUGUUUAAGUUCUGGCUGUUACUGUGAGUGCGCUCAACAGCAGAACUCAGGUCCUGAUGAAGCUUGGAUGGUGCAUGGCCAGGAAGACAGCAUGUCAGUCUGAAGCCUAUUACCCUGUUGGAAACACAAGGUAGUUUUGAAUAAGAAAUAAAAUUAAGGAAGGGAGGAAAAUAAUGCAGAUGGUGGGAGCACUGUUAUGCUGUUACCUGUCAAUAUGUAAAACAUCAGGGAGGUGCUCUCACUUUGAUUGGGAAGGCCAAGCUGAUCUAUCAGCAUCAGAACUAAUGAAUGUUAGCCUAAGCUAGUCCUCUUUUCCCCUAGAUCUGUUGAACUUGAAUCUGUCUAAUGAUUUGCCCUUGGUAGUUUGUCUCAAGAAUGGAGGGUCCUCUUGAAAACUGUAAGAAAAGUGGUAGCACUCGGAAUUAUAGCAUCUUGUGAGCUUUGUUGAGACAAUGACUCAUUGCAAGAAGAUAAUUGUGUAUUUAUGUUAGUAUCUCUUGAAUCUGUUGUCUUUGUAAAUCAGGAUUGUGUUCGUGGUGCUGGCUCAGAGACAUUUUAAGACAUUGAGAACAUAUAGAGGUUGUGCUGUUCCACACAUGGCUUUGAGUCAUCAAAUUGGCACUGUAAUUACCUCGCUGCCUUAUGCACAGUAUGUAAUUUCAAAUCUAAAGCAGUAGCUCUCAGUGCUAGUCAUGAUAAAGGAAUUUCACUGAUCCUUCAAUAGCAGUGAUAAUAUCAAACGUGAAACUGAAGAGGGGAAGAGCGCAGUGACUGUGGAGGACUCAUCACCCAAUGAGUUAGCAAGCCAGAUUGCUGAGGGCAGGCUUCAUUUCUGUCACUGGAUAACAAUACUGAUAGGAAAGCUUCAGAUCUGAAUGCCAGAUAUGAGCAGAUAUCUGAGCAGAUGCGAGCAGAUAACUUUACAGCCUUCUCCAGGCACCAUCCACACAAGAAAUAUUUUUUAUAUAUCUUCCUUUUUUGUGGUAUUUAUUCACAGAACUGACUUUAAAUGAGUACACAAUCAGUUAGACUUGGCUCUGAGAAGCUUCUUCUCUGUGGACUGUUCACAGUGUGCUGUUUUGUCUGUUUUUUUUGGGGAGCUACGGAAGUGAACAUAGUGAUCCAGUGUCUCAGGAUCUUGUCCGUGACGUUUUCUGGUAGGCUCAUUGUCUGAUCAUAGCUACAUCCUGUUUCUUAAUCCUCUCUUCAGAGUAAACUCUGGCAGGCAGGCAGGAUCUGGGGGGAGGGCUGCCUUAAAAGUGUUUAAUUGUCAGUAAUUAGUCACAGUAACUCAUUCUGAAUAUCUAAUUAGAUUGGAAGAAAGGCAUCAAUUUUAUUUCAAUUUCAUUUUUUCAGGAGAAUCUUGAACACAGUGAACACAUCUCAGAAAAUGUGUACCUUUUUUUUUGGCUUAUGUGUAAAAUCACUAGGUGAAAUUUGAAGAAAGCAUGAAAUAAAAUACUGGGAGAGCAUAAAUGGUAACUGCUGUGUUGUUUUUUUCAAGAAAAGUAACCGAUAUUAUCUGUACACACGCAUAUAUAUAUAUAUAAUAUUAUGUGUCUGAGAUAAGUGCCUGGGUUUAAAAAAAUAAAUAAACCAAAACCCGAAAUAAGUUCAAGAUAACAUCACUUAAAAAGAUAGAAUUGAAGGCCUUAAGUAGUUACAUAGGUUUACCAAAUCAAGUUGCUUGCCCCAAGAGCGUAAGGUCGCCUGUGACUGCUUAUGUUCUACUUGAAACUAUUUAGAAAAAAAUGCUCAAAAUGCAUUCAUUUCUAUAGAAGAGACAAGUGUGUUUCUUCUCCAUUAAGAGAUUUAUGUUUUAUCAAAAUAAUCUGUGUACAUGUCUAGCUGCCAGGUUUGACUAUUACAAAACCACAGUCUAAAACUUGGAAGUUGUAUACUUCAGAAUUCUUUUUUUUUUUCUUUUUUCUUCCUUUUUUUUUUUUUUUUCUUCAUAUGUUUUUCUGUCCAUAUAUAUUCUGAAGAAACCGCAGAGAUUGAGCUCGGAGGCUCUCGCAGUACUGGAAAUUGCUCGAGCAGGCAGUAUCACUGAAAAGAUAGCCAAGGUGACUGGCUCAAAAAUAGCCCAAGAGUUGCAGAUCCUGCAAUAAGACUCACAGCAGUGAUUUAUUAAGUUGAUUAAGCUUUUCUUUCUCUACUAAAAGGGUAGCGUGGAUGGAAGGUUUGUUUGGUCCUUAGUGUGGUCUUGUGCCAUGUAAGGAAAACGUCCUGACGUGCAUUAGUACAGCAGUCUGGGUGUUCUACUGAAGUGCUGAGAAAUUGCAGUUAUUUACAAGCCAGCUUGAGGGUGGUUGGCCCCAGUACUCUGUACAGAAUCUGGGCACCACUGCUUUGGUCCCUGGUUGCUGCCUGAUGGAGUAGGGUCAUGUUUUGGUCACAUUGUUGUGUUUUCUAAGUAGCAGUGGAUACAGAAGGCUUGUUUUGCCCUAAUACCUGACUUUCUUCUGUGUUCAAUAUAACCACCAAACUUAUUUUCACUUCCUUUUUAGGAAUAACUUAUCCCCUAACUUUGUAUAAAUAAGCACAAAUAACGGUACCUCGUAAAGCAGUUACAGACCGUUUAUUACUUGUCUUUCUCUAGAAACCUGAGUGGGUGUGCUAACUGACUGCCUUGAGGAAAACAUAAUUACGUUCGACAUGCGUUUUUCAGGUGCAAAAAUUAGUUGAAAUAAAAUAAUCUCAGUGCAGAAAUAGCUCCUUCUCAAGUGCACUUUGACAUUCCAUUUGUGUUAAAAUGCCUUUUAAUUCUCUGUACGAAAUAAGAAACUCGUGGGCGGCACGAGUUAAAUUGCCACUGGAGCCGUGCAGCCCAUUGUAGUUCCUUCCUCAGGGUAAGCACUGAGAACGCUCCUGCUUACAUUGCUCAGGACUGAAGAUUUUGCCUUUUGUAAGGUGCCACAUUCAAUCUAUCUCAGAUAAUCUCACACGUUGCUGAGUGAAGUGGCUGUAUGUGAGAGCUCGGUGAUUUCAGCGGUAAGUUCACAUGCAUUCUUGGGAGCUGCAGUGUCGGCACUCGCUGCUGCUGGAGGAAGUCUAAAGCCCGUUUAAUUCAUCGUCCUGUCCUUGCCACUGAAAACGGCGUGGUUCAAAGGAAGGUACAGGAACUCUACAGCAGCAGUUAUGAGAUAAUCUGUCAUCCUUACGUGUCUCAUCCUGAUCUAGGAGGUCAUUGAAUCUAAUAAGACAAUCUGUUAAGCUUUGAAAUAUGUGGCUUAAUAUCUUUACAUAAGGCAUAUCGUCACAUUUACUCUGGUAUGAAAAUUACACGGGGUUAUCAUUAGAGUUCCCCUUUCAGUUUUGUAAAGCUGUGUACUUCACGGGUUCCUGUAAAUAAAGAGUUCCACUGGUUGUUUACAUGCACUGGAGAAAUACAUUUUCUUGCUUAGUUUUCCCACAUUUUAACUCCAUGGAGAAUCGCCUUAUUCUUGUGUUAGAAAAGGAGAGAAAGUUGUUCACAGUCAACUUCUUUUAGGUUAACCAGUGUGUAAUAUAUUUUUGUGAUACUUGCAUGGCUUUAUGACCCAUACUCUCGAAAAUCUGAAGUUAGUUCCUUAUGUUAGUACACUGCACCAAAACGUCACACCAAGCAGUUAUGGUUCUGUUCUAGCUUUUUGUCUUUAAUAUGCAUAACAUCGUACGUUAACUGUAGGAUAUCUAUGCCACAUCACGAGCAGGUUCAGACUGGCUCACACAGGGCACCUCUACUUGUGCUGAAAAAAAAUGAUCUUUAAGCUUACAAAGAAGUUUCUGUUCUAGAGGCCCUAUUGUACUCUGUGGAUUUUUUUUUUUUAAUAUUGUUGUAUAAGUCUACCAAGAUUGCUCAACAAUUCGUAAUAAAAGAUCAUUGUUUUCAGUUGCUUGGAGUAUUACCAAACUGUAACUAAUCAAUGGAUU